rnacentral:rRNA from 1 species
GACGAACGCUGGCGGCGUGCUUAACACAUGCAAGUCGAACGGAAAGGCCCUGCUUUUGUGGGGUGCUCGAGUGGCGAACGGGUGAGUAACACGUGAGUAACCUGCCCUUGACUUUGGGAUAACUUCAGGAAACUGGGGCUAAUACCGGAUAGGAGCUCCUGCUGCAUGGUGGGGGUUGGAAAGUUUCGGCGGUUGGGGAUGGACUCGCGGCUUAUCAGCUUGUUGGUGGGGUAGUGGCUUACCAAGGCUUUGACGGGUAGCCGGCCUGAGAGGGUGACCGGCCACUUUGGGACGGGGUUCCGGCCCACCCCCCUGCGGGGGGCGGCGGGGGGAAUUAUGGCACAGGGGGCGGAAGCCGUAUGCACCACCCCCGGGUGGGGGAGGAGGGCCUGCGGUUUUAAAACCGCUUCCGCCGGGGACGAGGGGUGAGUGACGGUAAGGGAAAAAGAAGCACCGCCCAACCAGGCC